rnacentral:rRNA from 1 species
GAUGAACGCUGGCGGCGUGCCUAAUACAUGCAAGUCGAGCGAACAGACGAUGAGCUUGCUCCUCUGACGUUAGCGGCGGACGUGUGAGUAACACGUGUAUAACCUACCUAUAAUACUGGUAUAACUUCGGGAAACCGGAGCUAAUCCCGUAUAAUAUAUUGAACCGCAGUGUUGAAUGGUGAAAUACGGUCUUGCUGUCACUUAUAGAUGGAUCCGCGCCUCAUUAGCUAGUUGGUAAGUUCACGGCUUACCAAGGCAACGAUGCGUAGCCGAGCUGAGAGGCUGAUCGGCUAGAAUUGAAAUGAGACACGGACCAGACUGCGACGCGAGGCAGCAGUGUGGAAUAUUAGACAAGGGGGGAUAGUCUGGUAAAGCAGUGCGGGGUGAGUGAGGAAGGCCUUAGGAUUGUAAAGCUCUUUUACCCGAGAUGAUAGUGACAGUACCGGGAGAAUAAGCACCGGCUAACUCCGUG